AAAUAGGAGUUUCACCCAUUUUCCCUUUUUAAGUCCCUUAGACUUCCUCAGUAAAAACAAACAAAAGAAAAAGAGACCCCUAGCCUUGAUGCUAACACACAGCACACAACUCACAACACACUCACACGGACACACACUCACGCACACAAACACACAUAUAAAACAACACACACAUCUCACAAAACGCAACAGUUGCUGCUCAAGAAAAAAAAUCUUCUUUCCUUCUUCUAAAGCCAUCAUUCUCAGGCAAUCAGGUAUGUUUAUCUAGUUUUCUCUCUUCUCCUCUCUCUCUCCCCCCAAUUUCAAUUGUUGGCAGAUUUUUUUUUUCUUUUCUUUUCAUUCUAUGGUUCAUUUGAUGUGAAGUUUGGGACACAAAUUGUGCAAUCCUAGAUCUGUUGGUUGAUUGAUAUUUAAAUAUGGUUGAUUGAACUAUAAUUUCCAUGUUUUUGGGAGGGUAAUUGAACCUUUUUAUUGUGACAAAAAUCAUGGUGAAAGUGAUGCGCACAACCUGCUCAACAAAUUGUCUGAGAGAAAAAUUAGUUCGCCGGUGAAGUCUGAGUAACCGAGCGCUGUCAGAGGCCAAUUGUAAGUAAGUUUUUGGUAGUCAAAUAGGUUGUGGACUGCUUAGUCAGAUCGUUCAAGCUAAAACUCAUCAAGAUUGACAUAGGCAUUCUUUUGGCGUGAAGCGAGCUAACUUGCCUUUUCAUGUGAUUAGUUCACUCGAUGAAGUUUGAGUAAUCGAGCGAUAUGAGGCCAUGUUUAGAGUUUAUCUGAAGCAAUUCAUGGAAGAGCUGAACAAUGAGGAUAUGCCAUAGCUAGCCAUUGCCGACUACACAAACUGCUCGUCUUGCUCCAUGAUGCCAUCUUUUCAGGGAGACCUCUACUUUGCUUUAAUUAUAUAGUUACAUUGAGGACAAUGCAACAUCUUAAGUUGGGGGGUUUAUAUGAUUGAGAAGUGAUCAUGAAGAAAUCAAGUGAAAAAAACAAGUCAAAAAGAGGUCAAAGUGAAGAAAAUCACAAAAAUGGCUAAAACUGCAAAAACUGGACAGUUUUCAAAAUCUGAAAAUAUGGGGCUGUUUUGGUCAUAUUUUGAUGUGGAAAUAUUGGGGAGCUAUAAAAGCAACACUUGAAGGAAAAAAUCAUCAUCUUUGGCCAUUCAACACAAGUUUUGGAGACUAGGGUUCUUACACCACACUUUGGGGUUGAAGAUUUGAAGAUUUGGUUGAGCACUUUCUUAAAACUUUACUUCAUUUCUUUGAUUCCUUGCUUUGUAAUGAAUAUCUAAGUGUGUAUAUUUAUUUUCUUUACUUGAAUCUUGUUUAUGAAAAUAUUCUAUAAUUAAAGUAUUGGAUGAAAAUCUUGUUUUGCUUAUG